rnacentral:lncRNA from 1 species
UCAUCAAGAGUCCUUCUCUAACCUUCAAUUAAAGAAAUACAGGGUUAAAUGAGAUCAAAACCCUCAUUUGCUACAAAACCCCAUUCUAAACCUAGCCUCUACACAUGCUAUUCAUGGAGGAAACCUGCUAACAACACAUUAGAGGCUACUAGAACACCAAGCAUUAAGGAUUUAACCAAAAUCCUAACACUUACCAAAUUGCGAAUACCAAGUCGAAAGCAUGCCGCUCAAACGGCCGCAUGAGGACCCGAACCGUUGCCUCCAACACGUUCCUAAGCUUGCUAUCCACAAACCCUCCAAUUUUGGGAGAGAAAUAUAAAGAGAGAGGUGAGAUAUCUAGAGAGAGAGAGGAGAGUUUCUCUCACCUCUAUGGUGUGUGUCACGCCCCGCCCCGAAUCCACUACCAAUUUGGCACGGUUCGGGCACAUCAGACGGACCGCCGAACGGACAGUACCUCUCCUGUCCGCCCAAGGCCAAGCAACCAGAUCAUGUACAAUUAAGCACCCAGGAAUUUGCUUAAAUAACAUACAUGAUCAAAUACGAUGCACACAAGUGCAAUACAUCUAAGAGCAAGAACCACAAGUGAUAUACAAGUGUAUAAAGAGAGAUAGUCUAACUAUCACAAUCAUUCAACAUUUACAUUAUUUAUUUUCAUCUUCCAAAAUGUAAGUACAUGUUUUCUUCAAAAUACAAGUAGCUCUCUGAUAUCUAUCCAAAAUAUCAACUAGUACACGAGGGUACUCUAAUGCAUAAGGAAAAGCUACUAACUAGGCUCACUUAGGGCGCUAUGCCCUUGCCGCGGUCCUCGCUCGGCUCGCCUCUAUGUGUACCUGUACCCCAAAACCACACGGGGUGAGAACUAUAUAAAUAUAGUUCCCAGUGGGUUCGGCCGCCGACGCCGCCGGUUUUCCCACUAGGUCUAAGCUGGCACAGAUAGAGAGAUAGAUAGAUAGAUAAAAGUAAACUGCGACUACUCUAUCAUGCCAUCAACGAUGAUAAUGCAUGCAACAACUACUAUCAUGCGAGAAUCAUGUCAUGAGUAUAGAAAAGUACAUAGUAAUGCAAUCUACAACAUACACUAUGUCUACUCGAGGUAAUGCAUGAACAUAGCAAUGAUAUUCUACUAAUCAUGAUACUAUGCUUCAACAAUAAUGGAAAUGAGCUACUACAUAGUGAUGUAUCUACAACAUGCUACUAUGUCUCAAUGUCAACUCAAGGUAUGAAUGCAAAUCUGCUAUGCCAUUCAUAUUCUUUACCCAAUCUGCUUGGAAAUGAGCUACUACAUAGUGAUGUAUCUGCACAUGCUACUAUGCCUCAAUAAUCCAAAUGAACGAGCUACACAGUGCGUCGUGCAACUAUGCCUCGGUAGUAUCCAAUCUCAUGGCCAACCCGAAGGUUGCCACCCCGGGGUCAACCCCGACUCACUCUCAAUCUCAUAGGUGAGGAGAAACUGCACUCGCACACCGAGACCGUCUGCGGGACAACUACGUCUGCCCCUAGUGAAGUACUCCGGAGACUCGUGCCUCGGUGGAGCGACCACCGACAAGCAAAAACAGACUAGUGAGUAUGAUCCAAUCCUCACAAGAGGAUACCCUAUCUACAAGGGUCAACGUGCCUCUGCUGCACAAUGUACAAUGCAUCCUAGAUGCCGGGAUCUCUACUAUCCCUAAGUACAUGUCGAGUUUACUACACUAGACUCAAUGCCACUCGUUUAGUCAUUGUAGUAAAUGUCUCAAUUAUUCUACAUGUUAUUUGUUCAUGUCAUAGUGUCUCUCCUACACUAGUUCAAUGCCACUCUACUAGGCUAUGUCCAAAUUCAUCACUUUUGCCACUAUAGGAUUCUUUGUCUCAAGACCCAAUCCUCAUGCCUCCCUAGUCCAAGUGUUAGGUCCAUACCGCUACACUACUAAGUAAGCAUGCAAGGAAUGGAAAUAUACUUUACUAAUCCUAUAAUGCUCAAUCAAUAUAUGAUGAAUAAAAUUAACUUAGGCAUAAAAGGAAACCCGGAUGUUUCGGGAUGACACCCCCCACCUUUUACCGCUAUCACGAGGCUAGGUUCUCAAUUGCACGUUCCCUAGUCGCCGCUUUACUCUUCGGUCGCACCUGCUCGACGAAUCGACGAACCGACGCUUCACACGCGUUUAGGCACCUCAAACACAAGCUUUUCCUCAAACCAAGUAAUGAAGAGGAUGAAGACUUCACCUCCAAGCAACCUUUUUCUUCUCCAAAUGCACCUCCAAUUCCUCUCUUUGGUGGAGAAAUUGUUAGAGAGAGAGAGAUAUUUCUCUUUGGUUGCAAGUGUGAGGGAGAAAGAAAGAAAAUGCUCAAGUCCCCUAUAUAUAUAUAGGAAACUUGGCCUCCAAGUUUCAUAGGAAACUUGGUCUCCAAGUGUCAUAGGAAACUUAGCCUCCAAGUUUCAUAGGAAACUUGGCCUCCAAGUUAUCUAGGAAACUUGGCCUCCAAGUUAUCCAAGAACACUAUUCACAUUCAGUUUAGCAGCACGGUACAGAUAUUAUUCGUCUGCCCUGUCUCUCACAGAAAAUUCUAAAGCUUCUGUUUUCGCUUCCAUUUCAACACGGGUCACUCUAGACUUAUAAUUUAUGUCUAUAAGUCCAAUAAAAAUAGUAUCCCACACUAUUUUUAUUUAUUUACACUUUUACAUUUAAAAUCCGGUAUAUUACAUUCCACCGCAACCUCACCGGAAUUACUUAAAUGUACACCGUAACUUCAUUAUUUUUAGAAGUCCGGUACCUUACAGUGUGUGCGUGUGGUGUUGGCGACUGUGGGAGAGGGA